CUGUAGGAACUGAAAUGCCUGCUCACUGGUCAUAGGAGCUCUUCAUCUUUCUUGGAGCAUUCCUAUGACUUUCAUGCUUCAAGCAGGACUUCCUGUCAUAGGUUGCAGUUGGAGCAGUGUAAGGUUGUGGCACUGAAGUGUUCCACCUCACUGUGUAUAACUGCCAAGGUGAGGAUAGGAGACAUUCUCCUGAAACUAUUGGAAUGUAUAUGGAGCUGCAUUAAACACUAUACACUCUAUGGACUCUGUGCUCCUGAUGAGGUGUUGUGCCUGGUUUGUAUGUCUCUACUUACAGUCUCUGAUGUAUUUCCAUUGCACUAGAUCCGUGCUGCAUUGUGCCAGUUGGCUGAGAAGAACUUAGAGCCAAAGGAUGCAGAGUUUUUUGAGAAUGAGAUGCAGAAAAGGAGACAAAAGAAAACAUCCUUGCAGCUGCCUCCACAGACAGUUGAGCCCAGGGAUGCAGCUGAAGCAAGUGCAACAUGGAGGAAACCAAAUUCAGCUCCUUCUAAUGGAAACACCAGAGAUCCU
rnacentral:lncRNA from 12 species